GCGACCCCAGGUCAGGCGGGGCUACCCGCUG
rnacentral:rRNA from 12 species